rnacentral:rRNA from 1 species
UAACACAUGCAAGUCGAGGGGCAGCAUGGUCUUAGCUUGCUAAGGCUGAUGGCGACCGGCGCACGGGUGAGUAACACGUAUCCAACCUGCCGUCUACUCUUGGCCAGCCUUCUGAAAGGAAGAUUAAUCCAGGAUGGCAUCAUGAGUUCACAUGUCCGCAUGAUUAAAGGUAUUUUCCGGUAGACGAUGGGGAUGCGUUCCAUUAGAUAGUAGGCGGGGUAACGGCCCACCUAGUCAACGAUGGAUAGGGGUUCUGAGAGGAAGGUCCCCCACAUUGGAACUGAGACACGGUCCAAACUCCUACGGGAGGCAGCAGUGAGGAAUAUUGGUCAAUGGGCGAUGGCCUGAACCAGCCAAGUAGCGUGAAGGAUGACUGCCCUAUGGGUUGUAAACUUCUUUUAUAAAGGAAUAAAGUCGGGUAUGCAUACCCGUUUGCAUGUACUUUAUGAAUAAGGAUCGGCUAACUCCGUGCCAGCAGCCGCGGUAAUACGGAGGAUCCGAGCGUUAUCCGGAUUUAUUGGGUUUAAAGGGAGCGUAGAUGGAUGUUUAAGUCAGUUGUGAAAGUUUGCGGCUCAACCGUAAAAUUGCAGUUGAUACUGGAUGUCUUGAGUGCAGUUGAGGCAGGCGGAAUUCGUGGUGUAGCGGUGAAAUGCUUAGAUAUCACGAAGAACUCCGAUUGCGAAGGCAGCCUGCUAAGCUGCAACUGACAUU